rnacentral:rRNA from 1 species
GAUGAACGCUGGCGGCGUGCCUAAUACAUGCAAGUCGAGCGAAGCGGGGACGGGUGAGUAACACGUGGAUAACCUCCUAUAAGACUGGGAUAACUUCGGGACACCGUAGCUACACCGGAUACUUAUAUAUGUAUCCGCGCUGCAUUAGCUAGUGUGUAAGGUAACGGCUUACCAAGUAAACGAUGCAUAGCCGACCUGAGAGGGUGAUCGGCAACACUGGAACUGAGACACGGUACAGACUCCGACGGGAGGCAGCAGUGGGGAAUCGUACGAAAUGGGCGAAAGGCUGACGGAGCAACGCCGCGUGAGUGAUGAAGGUCUUCGGAUCGUAAAACUCUGUUAUUAGGGAAGCGGUACCUAAUCAGAAAGCCACGGCUAACUACGUGCCAGCAGCCGCGGUAAUAC